UGAGUUUGAUCCUGGCUCAGGGUGAACGCUUGUGGUAAGCCUUAUACAUGCGAGUUGAACGUAUUUUUACGUAGCGAACGGGUGAGUAAUGCAAAGGUUAUUUGCUUUUAGAUUCGGAAUAAAAUACCGAUGUAAAAGAAUCAGAUCGUCUAAAAAUAAGCUUUUGUAGAAUUAGGUAGUUGGUAAGGUAAAGGCUUACCAAGCCGACGAUUCUUAGCUGGUCCGAGAGGAUGAUCAGCCACACUGGAACUGAGACAAGGUCCAGGCUUUUUUAUAAAGCCAGCAGUAGGGGAUAUUGGACAAUGAGCUAGCGCUUGAUCCAGCUAUACCACAUGAGUGAUUAAGGCUCUUUGGCUGUAAAACUCGAUAUUUUGGGAAGAGAAUGACAAUACCAAAAGAAAAGUCCCGGCUAACUUCGUGCCAGCAGUCGCGGUAAUACGGAGGGGGCGAGCGUUAUCUGGAAUAAUUGGGCGUAAAGGGUUCGUAGGCUGUAUUUUGCUGUUGAAUGUUAAAAAUCAGAGCUUAACUUUGAAAAUGCAUUCAAAACGUUUAUACUUGAGUACGAAAUAGGACAAUGGAAUUUUACAAGGAGGGGUGAAAUCCGUAGAACUGUAAAGGAAUGUCAAAAGCGAAGGCAGUUGUCUGGGUCGUUACUGACGCUAAGGAACGAAAGCGUGGGUAUCCAACAGGAUUAGAUACCCUGGUAGUCCACGCCGUAAAUUAUGAGUGCUCAUGCUUAGAUUUUUUAGGCAUUUAGUUAACACGUUAAGCACUCCGCCUGAAGAGUAUAAUCGCAAGAUUGAAACUCAAAGGAAUUGACGGGGGCCAACACAAGUGGUGGAGCAUGUUGUUUAAUGCGAAAAUACGCGCGAAACCUUACCAGUUCUUGACAGUGUGUUAAGUGACGAAAAAAUAGCUUUUUUUGUCCUCUUUAUAGUAAGAAUUUUCACACACAGGUGUUGCAUGGCUGUCGUCAGCUCGUGUUGUGAAAUGUCAAGUUAAGUCUUGUAACGAGCGCAACCCAUGUCUUUUGUUGCUGUUUACAGUGCUUAAAAGAGACUGCCGCUCUACAGCGGAGGAAGGUGUGGAUGAUG
rnacentral:rRNA from 1 species